AAGAGGAAAUACAAUGAUUUUAUUGAAUGUUAGUGCAUACAUAUAAAUGUUCUCCAAAAUAUUUUAUACAUCAUUUAAAAAAAAAGUAGGCUAACUGAUGUAACAAUUGCAGGGCCAUUUAUCUCAGAAGAUGAUGUCUCAAAAGUCACAAAAAAGCCAAAUAAGAAUACAGGUUUGCAGGCAUUUCCAAAGCCCCCUGAACUCCCGAAAAGCCAAACUCUUGCUACCACUGUUCAAACCACUUCUGAAGAAUUAGCCAUGGAUCAGAAUGGGCAGUUGGCCUGGAAUAGACAGCUGCCAGAUUCAUCCUCAGAAAAUUCCGAAAGUGAAAUUCCAGAUGCUGAAGACAAUCACAGCCUAAUAAGGGAGUGCUCCAACUCUUCCAAUCAUCGACCAUACCAUGAAAGUGACAGAGAGCUCUCUAUUUCUACUUCUAGACAUGGUAAAUUAAACAACUUGUUAGAUAAUAAUUGUUGGCUGACUGUGGAGAAACUAAAAAAGACAACUUUUAUAAAUUACAUACACUACUGUACAUUUGCAGAAACAGGGGUUCAUAGUGUGUGCAUACACAUGAAGAUGCCACAGCAUAUAAAAGAAUAUGCGCUUACAUGUGGCAGACUGAAAUAGUCUAUGUUGUAAAGCAUAUGUGACCUGUGCUGGCAAAAUUAGUCACA